UAUGAGUUUGAUCCUGGCUCAGGACGAACGCUGGCGGCGUGCUUAACACAUGCAAGUCGAACGAUGAAGCCCAGCUUGCUGGGUGGAUUAGUGGCGAACGGGUGAGUAACACGUGAGUAACCUGCCCCCCUCUUCGGGAUAAGCCUUGGAAACGGGGUCUAAUACCGGAUAUUCAGUCUCUGCCGCAUGGUGGGGGUUGGAAAGAUUUAUUGGUGGGGGAUGGGCUCGCGGCCUAUCAGCUUGUUGGUGGGGUGAUGGCCUACCAAGGCGUCGACGGGUAGCCGGCCUGAGAGGGCGACCGGCCACACUGGGACUGAGACACGGCCCAGACUCCUACGGGAGGCAGCAGUGGGGAAUAUUGCACAAUGGGCGAAAGCCUGAUGCAGCGACGCCGCGUGAGGGAUGACGGCCUUCGGGUUGUAAACCUCUUUCGACAAGGAAGAAGCUUUCGGGUGACGGUACUUGUAGAAGAAGCGCCGGCUAACUACGUGCCAGCAGCCGCGGUAAUACGUAGGGCGCAAGCGUUGUCCGGAAUUAUUGGGCGUAAAGAGCUCGUAGGCGGUCUGUCGCGUCUGGUGUGAAAACCCGAGGCUCAACCUCGGGCUGGCAUCGGGUACGGGCAGGCUGGAGUGCGGUAGGGGAGACUGGAAUUCCUGGUGUAGCGGUGGAAUGCGCAGAUAUCAGGAGGAACACCGAUGGCGAAGGCAGGUCUCUGGGCCGUUACUGACGCUGAGGAGCGAAAGCAUGGGGAGCGAACAGGAUUAGAUACCCUGGUAGUCCAUGCCGUAAACGUUGCGCACUAGGUGUGGGGCGGGUUCCACUCGUUCUGUGCCGUAGCUAACGCAUUAAGUGCCCCGCCUGGGGAGUACGGCCGCAAGGCUAAAACUCAAAGGAAUUGACGGGGGCCCGCACAAGCCGGCGGAGCAUGCGGAUUAAUUCGAUGCAACGCGAAGAACCUUACCAAGGCUUGACAUGCACCGGACAGCUGCAGAGAUGUGGUUUCCGCAAGGUCGGUGUACAAGGUGGUGCAUAGUUGUCGUCAGCUCGUGUCGUGAGAUGUUUGGGUUAAGUCCCGCAAACGAGCGCAACCCUUAUCCCUAUUGUUUUGCCCCAAGCCGGGGUUAUGCCGGGGACUCAUGGGAGACUGCCGGGGUCAACUCGGAGGAAGGUGGGGAUGAAGUCAAAUCAUCAUGCCCCUUAUGUCUUGGGCUUCACGCAUGCUACAAUGGCCGGUACAGAGGGUUGCGAUAUCGUGAGGUGGAGCGAAUCCCUAAAAGCCGGUCUCAGUUCGGAUCGGGGUCUGCAACUCGGCCCCGUGAAGUCGGAGUCGCUAGUAAUCGCAGAUCAGCAACGUUGCGGUGAAUACGUUCCCGGGCCUUGUACACACCGCCCGUCAAGUCACGAAAGUUGGUAACACCCGAAGCUCACGGCUCAACCCUUCGGGGAGGGAGUGGUCGAAGGUGGGACUGGCGAUUGGGACUAAGUCGUAACAAGGUAGCCGUACCGGAAGGUGCGGCUGGAUCACCUCCUUUUCAUAU
rnacentral:rRNA from 1 species